rnacentral:rRNA from 1 species
UACGUAGGGUGCAAGCGUUAAUCGGAAUUACUGGGCGUAAAGCGUGCGCAGGCGGCUUUGCAAGACAGAUGUGAAAUCCCCGGGCUCAACCUGGGAACUGCAUCUGAUACUGGCAAGCUUGAGUCUCGUAGAGGGGGGUAGAAUUCCAGGUGUAGCGGUGAAAUGCGUAGAGAUCUGGAGGAAUACCGGUGGCGAAGGCGGCCCCCUGGACGAAGACUGACGCUCAGGUGCGAAAGCGUGGGGAGCAAACAGG